AGACCCGGAGAGGUAAACUAAGGCAUAAAUGAAGCACUGCGAGGCACACGACUUGGAGAAACAUUUAACAAGGAACGUUUGUUCUUCUGCAAACACUGAGCAUUUUAUGAUCACAAGCUUAGAUUACAGCAGAGCUCUUGGCAUGCCAAAUACUACUGCAGUUGUACAAGCCUAUUUUUCAAGAGGAAAAGACAGAGAAGCAACCCAGUAGUGCAUGUUUGUAACAGAAUCUGGCUAAAGCAAAGCAACCAGCGUGUCUCCAGCAUGAAUAAGCAAACUGUGCCUUGGGCUACAUCAGGAGGCCAACAGAUCAUGGGAAGAUCCCCACUGACUCAUCCACUUUGGCCACACGAAAUACUGUGUCUGUUUCCAGGCCUCUCCCAGUUGAAGGGGAAUGCGAAAGAAGGAAAGAGGGUCCAGAAGCUAAUCGGGGCCUGGGGCACGUGAUCAAAAAACAGAAGCUGAGCUUCUAUAGACAAGGGAAGAUGAAGCUGAGAGUGCCCUACAACUAUUCCAAAGAUGUGCAUCAUAUGUAUGCAGGAAUGCACAGAAAUGGUAUUACCCCUUUAUAAAUUAAAGGAGCAAAAUGAAGAUCUAAAAGCAUCAGUAGGCCACAAGGACAAAGACAAAGGAUUCUUGCUUGAUGAAAUCAUUAUAUUAAUAAGACUAAGUCCAUCCUAAGCACAGGAACAGACUGUCAGCAGAAUCUUCUCUUGGACUGAAAAUGGCUGCAGCCAUUUCUCCUACACCACAGCAUGCUCCCUAUGAAGAGGAUGGCAAAGCUCAGGAUUUAUCAACAGAGCCAUGGCUUAAGUUAGCUACAAGAUAUAUUUGCAGUUUCCAAAACCUGAAAGGCUGUUGGGAUUUCCACGGACAGUUAGUUGUUUCACAAUGUAAACACACUACAAGCUACACAGUGCAUGAAUUGACUGGAAAGUACUAUAGUGUGAGAAAAAAAAGGUAGAGUCUAAUAGGGUAUGCUUUAUCAUUUUCUGGUGGAAGUCCUCUGCAUGGAUUGCUUCAGUGCAGGUUUAGUCUGUGUCAGAUUUGCUGAGGAUAAAGUGGAUAUGGGUGACACUGCGAGGUGCACUGCUCUGCUUCAGGCCCUCCUGUGCUCCUUCUUUAGAAAAGAGUUGGAGAGCAGGAAUGAGCAGCAGAGAAGGAAGCCCAGCAGGAUGUAAAAUACAAGGUGAGGCUCUCCUGCAAUGCUCAACAUUAAUAGAUUCUUGGAAAGAAAGAAGAAUUUGAACAACAUCCCAUUUCUGUCACGCUCUGCCAAGAUACUAUUUUGGAUGAGGAUGUUGGAGCACUUCAUUUUACUCCACCAACUCCCUGUCCUCUUUUAAGGAACGUUUCCACCAUAUGGAGAAGUUGUCACUCACAGAAUCACAGAAGAAGUCAUCUGGAUAUUCAGUCAACUGCUGUUUCCAGGCACGGUGAAAUCCACCAUCUCCGAAGCGGCUCAGGGAGGAGGGCAGUGUGGGCAGGGUUUCACCUGCAGUUCCAGCGGUGCUCCGGCAUUCUGGCAUCUUCAAAGGAGCGGCUGAAACUGAUUCAAAAUCUCCAACUACCACACUGUGUUGCCCGUCCGUGUUUAAAUGCUGAGGAUCUGAUUUUUAAAAUCAUUGUGUCUGCAUUAAGACAGCCUUUCACCGUAAGGAGGGUGACAGGUGCUCAGCAACAUCUGAAAAAGAAGUCACGGGGCAGAUAAAAAACCCACCCCGAAGGCAGCGUGCCAGGCUGCUGCACUACUGAAGCACUGCCUCUGUUUCUCAUCCUGCCACUCUUAAAAUAAACAAAUGCUU